rnacentral:rRNA from 1 species
AUUGAACGCUGGCGGCAGGCUUAACACAUGCAAGUCGAGCGGAGCGAGGGUGCUUGCACCUUAGCUUAGCGGCGGACGGGUGAGUAAUGCUUAGGAAUCUGCCUAUUAGUGGGGGACAACAUUCCGAAAGGGAUGCUAAUACCGCAUACGCCCUACGGGGGAAAGCAGGGGAUCUUCGGACCUUGCGCUAAUAGAUGAGCCUAAGUCGGAUUAGCUAGUUGGGGGGGUAAAGGCCUACCAAGGCGACGAUCUGUAGCGGGUCUGAGAGGAUGAUCCGCCACACUGGGACUGAGACACGGCCCAGACUCCUACGGGAGGCAGCAGUGGGGAAUAUUGGACAAUGGGCGGAAGCCUGAUCCAGCCAUGCCGCGUGUGUGAAGAAGGCCUUUUGGUUGUAAAGCACUUUAAGCGAGGAGGAGGCUACUAGUAUUAAUACUACUGGAUAGUGGACGUUACUCGCAGAAUAAGCACCGGCUAACUCCGUGCCAGCAGCCGCGGUAAUAC